GUGGUUGUUGUUGUCGUUGGCCAUCGCAAUUGGAGUUUCCAGUCCGUCCAACGGAGUUACAGUGGUUGUAGUGUUUGUAGUUGUUCGUAGGAGGCAGUUGGGAUUUCACAUACGCAAUAGCAACAUGCAACACGCAUACAGACGGGAGGAUAACGACGAAGCGGCGAAACAAAAAUUCAAAUAAAAAUCAAAUCAAACUAAAAAAAGGCGCUUAAUGUUCGUUACGUGCACGGAGCUCAUCUGUUAAAUUGCCUAAUUGAACACUCACAUCGUCGAAAUUGGCCAUUCUGUCGGAUUCGGAUUGGAGUUCGGGUUGUUGUUGCCUUUCCGGUUGUGAUGUGAAGAUCCCAAUUGGACUUUCGAUUUCUGGUUCUGGUUCUGCGUUUCAGGAGAAAGGGAACGGGGCGUGAGCGGGAGGCAAGAGAAAUGUAAACAACACUGACACUCUUUCACUUUUGUUCUCAUAUACCGUUAUUUCUCGUCCGUCUUCUGUUUGUUGUUAAAAUUAUAUGUACUUUUCGGUAACGUCAA